rnacentral:lncRNA from 9 species
GUGCCUCAUUUUCCUCGUGUGUAAGAAAUGAAAAGCUUUUUUUUUUUUUUUUCCACAGUAUAUAUAAGUUCCCAGGACCAUAGCAAUGCUGGACCCUGGCCACAGCUCACAGCAACGCCAGAUCCUUAGCCCACUGAGCGAGGCCAGGGAUCAAACCAGCAUCCUCACGGAUGCCAGUCAGAUUCACUUCUGCUGAGCCAUGAUGGAAACUCCAAGAAAAGUCUCUGAAGGAAGUUCGGUGAGGAUAAACAUGCAGCCUGAGGAACUCAGGAGUCAGGCUUUUUGCUGAUACGGAAUUCUGAGCUUUCCUUCCGGGCCGAUGUUUUGGAGGCAGGAUAUUCAAGCGCCGAGGAAAAGAGAACAGAAGAACCAGAGGAAUGAUAAGCUCAUCCAUUUAACCCUAAAAAGGGGCGAACGCUUCAUUCACUUUUCUCAGUGGAGCAAGAACAGACUGAUUGGCCCUCUGGGUGUUCGCGAAUGAAAGGUCAUCCUUCCGCUCGGCAGACACCUCCAGUCGGGCGGAGAAAGCCUGGGCUGUGACCUGAAAAAGCUCCCUGCGCGGUGCCCCUCGGCCAGGCCAGGCCAAAUGCUGUCCUCAGAGGACGCAGGCAAGGUGAGAACGCGGGCUGGGGCCUUAAACCACAAAGAGAGGGA